rnacentral:rRNA from 1 species
GAUGAACGCUGGCGGCGUGCCUAAUACAUGCAAGUCGAGCGAACAGACGAGGAGCUUGCUCCUCUGACGUUAGCGGCGGACGGGUGAGUAACACGUGUAUAACCUACCUAUAAGACUGGGAUAACUUCGGGAAACCGGAGCUUAUACCGGAUAAUAUAUUGAACCGCAUGGUGCAAUAGUGAAAGACGGUGGUGGUGUCACUUAUAGAUGGAUCCGGGCCGCAUUAGCUAGUUGGUAAGUUAACGGCUUACCAAGGCAACGAUGCGUAGCCGACCUGAGAGGGUGAUCCGCCCCAGAGGAGCUGAGCCGCGGUCUAGAGACCGACGUGAGGCAGAAGUAGGUACUCUUGCGCAAUGGGCGAAAGCUUGACGAAGCAGCGGAGCGCGAGUGCAGCAGCGCUGCGGGUCGUAAAACUGUGUUCUUGGUGAAGACCAAAUGUGUCAGUAACUAUGCGCGUCUGGCCGUAACGGAUACAGAAGGACCGGGCUACUUCGUG